rnacentral:rRNA from 1 species
AUUGAACGCUGGCGGCAGGCCUAACACAUGCAAGUCGAGCGGAGCGGCGGACGGGCGAGUGAUGAAUAGGAAGCUGACUGGCAGUGGGGGGGAGCGUCCGGAAAGGGGCGCUAAUACCGCACACUAGCAGAUGAGCGUAGGUGGGAUUAGCUAGUUGGUGGGGUAGAGGCCUACCCAGGCGCCGACCCGUAACUGGUCUGAGAGGAUGAUCAGUCACACUGGAACUGAGACACGGUCCAGACUCCUACGGGAGGCAGCAGUGGGGAAUAUGGGACAAUGGGCGAAAGCCUGAUACAGCCAUGCCGCGUGUGUGAAGAAGGUCUUCGGAUUGUAAAGCACUUUAAGUUGGGAGGCGUUACCAACAGAAUAAGCACCGGCUAACUCCGUGCCAGCAGCCGCGGUAAUUC